ACCGUUUUGAUUUAUCAGUAGCAAAUGACUGUUAAUCAUUGGGUCCCUGGUUCGAGUCCAGGUCGUGGAGCCA
rnacentral:tRNA from 1 species